GUGAAUCAUCGAAUUUUUGAACGCAAAUUGCACUCUCUGCGGAGCGUAUGCCUGUUUGAGGGUCAGUAUUAAUAAAAAUCGGUGUGUUGCUUCUUUGUGACGCUCCGGUGUUUGGGUCAUCUUAAUAUUCUUUAGGUUUUAAUUGGCUUAAAGUUGACUUUUUUGCGCAUUUUAGAUGUCCAUAAAUUCUUUUUUUUAUUCGUCUCUUUUUAAUACCAAAAUCUUAUUAGAUUCGAUCACAUCGUGUUGUUUCUUGUCCAUAAAAUUUUCAUUAUUUAACCUCAAAUCAGGUAGGAUUAC
rnacentral:misc_RNA from 1 species